ACCAGACUCCUACGGGAGGCAGCAGUGGGGGAUAUUGCACAAUGGGGGAAACCCUGAUGCAGCGACGCCGCGUGGGCGAAGAAGUAUUUCGGUAUGUAAAGCCCUAUCAGCAGGGAAGAAGAAAUGACGGUACCUGAGUAAGAAGCACCGGCUAAAUACGUGCCAGCAGCCGCGGUAAUACGUAUGGUGCAAGCGUUAUCCGGAUUUACUGGGUGUAAAGGGAGCGUAGACGGCAGUGCAAGUCUGGAGUGAAAGGCGGGGGCUCAACCCCCGGACUGCUCUGGAAACUGUACGGCUGGAGUGCAGGAGAGGUAAGUGGAAUUCCUAGUGUAGCGGUGAAAUGCGUAGAUAUUAGGAGGAACACCAGUGGCGAAGGCGGCUUACUGGACUGUAACUGACGUUGAGGCUCGAAAGCGUGGGGAGCAAACAGGAUUAGAUACCCCAGUAUA
rnacentral:rRNA from 1 species